GCUCCCGUAGCUCAGUCGGUGGAGCGGGGUGCUUAUAGGAUACAAACUAUACCAAAGUCACGCCCAGGUCGCGAGUUCGAGCCUCGCCGGGAGCA